rnacentral:rRNA from 1 species
AUUGAACGCUGGCGGCAUGCUUUACACAUGCAAUUCGAACGGCAGCGCGGGCUUCGGCCUGGCGGCGAGUGGCGAACGGGUGAGUAAUACAUCGGAACGUGCCCAGUAGUGGGGGAUAGCUCGGCGAAAGCCGGAUUAAUACCGCAUACGACCUGAGGGUGAAAGCGGGGGAUCUUCGGACCUCGCGCUAUUGGAGCGGCCGAUGGCAGAUUAGCUAGUUGGUGGGGUAAAGGCCUACCAAGGCGACGAUCUGUAGCUGGUCUGAGAGGACGACCAGCCACACUGGGACUGAGACACGGCCCAGACUCCUACGGGAGGCAGCAGUGGGGAAUUUUGGACAAAGGGCGAAAGCCUGAUCCAGCAAUGCCGCGUGUGUGAUGAAGGCCUUCGGGUUGUAAAGCACUUUUGGCGGGAACGAAAAGGACUGUGCCAAUACCACGGUUCGAUGACGGUACCCGCAGAAUAAGCACCGGCUAACUACGUG